GACGGAGGAUGCAAGCGUUAUCCGGAAUUAUUGGGCGUAAAGCGUCCGCAGGUGGCUGUUCAAGUCUGCUGUCAAAGCGCAGAGCUUAACUCUGUACAGGCGGUGGAAACUGAAGAGCUAGAGUAUGGUAGGGGUAGAGGGAAUUCCCGGUGUAGCGGUGAAAUGCGUAGAUAUCGGGAAGAACACCAGUGGCGAAAGCGCUCUACUGGGCCAUAACUGACACUCAGGGACGAAAGCUAGGGGAGCGAAUGGG
rnacentral:rRNA from 1 species